GAAGACUAUCAAAGGGAGUCUGGG
rnacentral:piRNA from 1 species